rnacentral:misc_RNA from 1 species
UCUCCGUUGGUGAACCAGCGGAGGGAUCAUUAUCGAGUUUAUAACUCCCAAACCCUACGUGAACUUACCACUUGUUGCUUCGGCGCGCGCUUCGGCGCCGCCGAGGACACUUAAACUCUUUGUUUUUAUAAGCAUUUCUGAGUGGCCGAAAGGCAAAAUACAAAUGAAUCAAAACUUUCAACAACGGAUCUCUUGGUUCUG